AACGAACGCUGGCGGCAUGCCUAACACAUGCAAGUCGAACGAGACCUUCGGGUCUUGUGGCGCACGGGUGCGUAACGCGUGGGAACCUGCCCUUAGGUUCGGAAUAACUCCCCGAAAGGGGUGCUAAUACCGGAUAAUGUCUUCGGCCCAAAGAUUUAUCGCCCUGGGUUGUGCCCGCGUUGGAUUAGCUAGUUGGUAGGGUAAAAGCUUACCAAGGCUGCUAUCCAUAGCUGGUCAGAGAGGCUGAUUAGCCACACUGGGACUGAGACACGGCCCCGACGCCGACGGGAGGCAGCAGCCGGGAAUCUUCCGCAAGGGGCGAGAGGGUGAUGGAGCAACGCCGCGUGAGUGAUGAAGGUCCUCGGAUCGUAAAACUCUGUUAUUAGGGGAGUACAAAUGUGUUUUUACCUAUGCACGUCUUGACGGUACCGAAUCAGAAAGCCCCGGCUAACUACGUG
rnacentral:rRNA from 1 species